GCCCGUAGCUCAGCUAGGUAGAGCGGCGGGCUCCAGACCCGUAGGUCGGGGGUUCAAAUCCCCCCGGGCCCACCA
rnacentral:tRNA from 1 species